rnacentral:lncRNA from 1 species
UCGAAAGAAGAGAAAUCAAACAACUUAUAAACAAGUAUUCACAUAUAUACAUCGAAAUAUUGGGGGUUUAAGAUUGAUUAAUUCUAACAAAUAAUCUACUGAAAAUUAAACCUAAGAUUAUUAUAUACAAGUGAUCAACAUACUCAUGCAACACAUAACACGAAAAACCAUCAAGAACACAUAACAACUUCAUGCAAGGCUGGGCAGUCAACGUUCAAAAUUAUCUUAGACUCUAACCAAUUCCGAUUCUAAUUAGAGCCUUUGCGGUUAUCUAAUUGUUAAGACUCCUCAAGUAUUUAGAACCAUCUUUGCGCUUGAUCCUAAACAUGAAUGCUAACUCAUUUAAAGACACGUUGCGUAGAGAUUAAACAAGAAAACACUUUAGCACACGAGUCAAUCGGAAACAUGAUCUAAGGCAUGGCGUCACUCAUCCUAUUAGCAUGCAAAUUAUACAGAAUUAUAUCCGCCCUAAGUUAAUAACAGAGACCAAGACAACUUUGCGUAUGAAUCGAUCAAAAUUAUUAUGGUAGAUGAAACCGCACCUUAAGGACAACCAUGGCCAAGGCAGCCUCAAGGAUUGAUUUAGAUGCACGAAUUCAUGAUAAUUAAUCAAUUAGAAAUCAAAAACACAUAAGAACAUGCUACUGCCCUAAAACCUAAAUCACGAAAUCAUCAUAUAUUCAAGAAGUUACAAAUCAAAACAUAGAACAAUCAAAGAUCACAAAGAAAUCCGAAAACCAUGUUUGAUAAAUAAAACCAAAAUCGAAAAGUAUAUUACAAUAGAGUUUGAAACUAUAUAGAAAAUAAUACAAGAAGCCAUGAGAAAAUCACACUUUUACAACCUUGAAAGAUUCGGCAAGUGUGGGGAAAAUCGGUGGAAGGAUGGAAUGAUUCUUAUAGUUUGUGGUGGAUGAAUCGGCUAAGUAAUUUUCUGUAUAGGGUUUGGUAGAGUUUCGGCUAUGUAAUUGCAAGAGUAGAGAUGAUGUUUUUCUGCUCUUGAA